GUGGGUAUAGCUCAUUUGGUUAGAGCGCCAGUUUGUGGCACUGGAGGUGCUGGGUUCGAUCCCCAGUAUCCACC
rnacentral:tRNA from 1 species